ACUUUCCUGUGGCUCAGUCAGUAGAGCUUUGCAUUUGCAAUGGAAAGACCAUGGGUUUGAUCCCCAGGGAAAGCA